UCCCGCUAAACCGAGCGGUGAGUCCGCGCUGCUGGGCCGCCCCUAGAACUUGCGCGGGUCCGUGUCUUUUCCUCUGCGUGGGAGGGAACGAUGGAUGAAUGAAUUUGAGAGAUUUUUCUCCCCCCCUUCCACUAUUUCAUAAUGUCUAUUAAGAUACUACAAAGAAAGGAGGACACCCACCCACCUAAUUAUUUUCUUCCACGUCGAUGAUCCCAUGGCCAGGGGAGUAAGAAGAGGGGAAUAAAUGUUUGGCAUGAUGCAGAGUGCAUUAGGACCAAGGAAGCCAGCACCCGUGAGAAGAGACAGCCCUACCACAGUAUGAAAGUGCCUCCACUGGGGAUAGAGUCAAGUGGGCACCCUGUGCAUGGGCAGAUCUUCCAUCUGUUGUGUGGACCCUCCAUCCCAGGCUCCUUUGGCAAAAUAUCUGGAAGAUGACUUCAAAGCAGCUGAAGCCUGAUGUACACACAGCAACAAAAGAGGAA